GAUGAACGCUGGCGGCGUGCCUAAUACAUGCAAGUCGAGCGAACAGACGAGGAGCUUGCUCCUCUGACGGUAGCGGCGGACGGGUGAGUAACACGUGGAUAACCUACCUAUAAGACUGGGAUAACUUCGGGGAACGGGAGCUAAUACCGGAUAAUAUAUUGAAGCGCAUGGGUCAAUAGUGAAAGACGGUUUUGCUGUCACUUAUAGAUGGAUCAGCGCCGCAUUAGCUAGUUGGUAAGGUAACGGCUUACCAAAGCAACGAUGCGAAGCCGACCUGAGAGCGACAACGGACACCUUGGUAGUGAGAAUCGGCCGAGACUCCUGCGGGAGGCCGCAGUAGGGAAUCUUACGGAAUGGGCCAAAGCCUAACCGAGCACAACGGCGGAAGUGAUGAAGGACUCCGGACCCGAAAACUCUGAAAUUCGGGAAGAUGUAAAGUGUAAUCAACUAUGAACGUCUUGACGGUACCUACUCAGAAAGCCACGGCUAACUCCGUG
rnacentral:rRNA from 1 species